AGCGAACGCUGGCGGCAGGCUUAACACAUGCAAGUCGAGCGGGCACUUUCGGGUGUCAGCGGCGGACGGGUGAGUAACGCGUGGGAACGUGCCCUCUGGUUCGGAAUAACUCAGGGAAACUUGAGCUAAUACCGGAUACGCCCUUUUGGGGAAAGGCUUGCUGCCGGAGGAUCGGCCCGCGUCUGAUUAGCUAGUUGGUGAGGUAACGGCUCACCAAGGCGACGAUCAGUAGCUGGUCUGAGAGGAUGAUCAGCCACACUGGGACUGAGACACGGCCCAGACUCCUACGGGAGGCAGCAGUGGGGAAUAUUGGACAAUGGGCGCAAGCCUGAUCCAGCCAGGCCGCGUGAGUGAUGAAGGCCUUAGGGUUGUAAAGCUCUUUUAUCCGGGACGAUAAUGACGGUACCGGAGGAAUAAGCCCCGGCUAACUUCGUG
rnacentral:rRNA from 1 species